rnacentral:lncRNA from 1 species
CUUCUCAGUCUGUGGAAACUAGUGAGGACACAUCUAAGAAGCUACAGAACAAGAUGGAAAGCCUGCAAAACCAGGUGGAAACGUUACAGAGAAAAAGCCAAGUCUCCUUACAUGGCUAUGGGAAACCAGUAUUUCCCUACAUCAUACAGUUCAUACAUCAAGGACAUUCAAGUGACCUGAUUUGCUUAAAAAAUGAUCAUAUAUGAAGUAUAAGCUAUGUCAUCAAUGAUCAGAAUUCAGGAAAUGAAGAUAGAGAAAGCAAAGGAAAAGGAGAAGUUGUCAAAAUGAAGACUUAUGUGCAUUAAUGAUUAUUUUCACUUCAGUAAGCUCCAAUUCAUGUGGAUGUCCCAGAGCUACCGAGUAUUACCAGUUCAAGCAGGAAACCUGGAUGUGGCUCCUGUUAACGCUGAGAUAUCAAAAUGUUUUGAAGCACAUGCCUACAACUGCAAGACUGAACAGAUUUCAUCCUAUACCAUAAUUCCUUCAAGCAAAACGGACUCAUCAAAUGGUAUUUUUGUUGUAAUUUUCAUUACAUGUUAUCAUCCUUGGUUUGUAGUACAAAAUCUGCCCUGGGCUUAAGUUUGUAAGCAUAGCACUCAUAUUUUGACUCAGAGCAGUGUAUGUUCCUGGAUUGUUUGGGACUUUUUAUCCUUCCUCCAUCCGUGUCCCUCUUAUAAAAACUGAAAUAGGUGAGGUUUAGGUGAGAAAAAAUGCAUUAUGAAACUACAC